ACGACCUUCGGAUGUUGGCGAAAUGGUGUUAUCUGACCCGUCUUGAAACACGGACCAAGGAGUCUAACAUAUAUGCGAGUCUUUGGGUGGCAAACCCGCAGGCGCAAUGAAAGUGAAGGCACGUUCGGCGUGCUGAGGUGAGAUCCGCAAGGUGCAUCAUCGACCGAUCUGGAUGGUUUCCUGAAAGAUUUGAGUAAGAGCAUACAUGUUGGGACCCGAAAGAUGGUGAACUAUGCCUGAAUAGGGUGAAGUCUGAGGAAACUCAGAUGGAAGCUCGUAGCGAUUCUGACGUGCAAAUCGAUCGUCAAAUUUGGGUAUAGG
rnacentral:rRNA from 1 species